CGAUUUUUCCGGUCGUUUCUGAGCCUGACCAUUCCACGUGGAGCAGCUGGUGCUCCCUGGAGCAUCAGGACGUGCUCUCUGUUCCAGAUGCAGAUGAAAAGGAAAAUGACAAUGAUGACGUGGAAGUGGAAACACAAGCCCUGUCACACUCCAGUCUCAUCAGGGAGAUUCCAGAGAUUGAAGAUCAAGAUGUCUCACAAGACUCUCACGAAAAUCAAUAUAAUGAAGUGAAGAUGCAAGAGCAAGAUGGCACAAACACUUCCAG